rnacentral:rRNA from 1 species
CCGCCGGCGACCGGCGCACGGGUGAGUAACACGUAUGCAACCUGGCCGUGACAGAUGGAUAACCGGGAGAAAUCCCGCCUAAUACAGCAUGACGCCGGGAAGGGACAUCCCUUUCCGGCCAAAGGGGGCGACUCCGGUCACGGAUGGGCAUGCGGCGCAUUAGGUAGUUGGUGGGGCAACGGCCCACCCAGCCGACGAUGCGUAGGGGUUCUGAGAGGAAGGUCCCCCACAUUGGAACUGAGACACGGUCCAAACUCCUACGGAAGGCAGCAG